rnacentral:rRNA from 1 species
GCCGAAAUAAUGUAUUAGGUUCUACCAACUCGUUAUUUUCCAGACAGACUUCCAGGCAGAGCUCGGCUGAACAACCUUUCUAAGCUUGACCUCAAAUCAGGUAGGACUACCCGCUGAACUUAAGCAUAUCAAUAAGCGGAGGAAAAGAACAACAGGGGAUUGCCUCAGUAACGGCGAGUGAAGCGGCAAAAGCUCAAAUUUGAAAUCUGAGGCUCUCAGCCCCCGAGUUGUAAUUUGAAGAUGGUGUUCUGGCGCCGGCCCCCUGUCUACGUUCCUUGGAACAGGACAUCACAGAGGGUGAGAAUCCCGUCUGGCGGGGCGGCCUGGCUCCGUGUAGAGCGCCAUCGACGAGUCGAGUUGUUUGGGAAUGCAGCUCUAAGUGGGUGGUAAAUUCCAUCUAAAGCUAAAUAUUGGCGAGAGACCGAUAGCGAACAAGUACAGUGAUGGAAAGAUGAAAAGAACUUUGAAAAGAGAGUGAAAAAGUACGUGAAAUUGUUGAAAGGGAAGGGUAUUGGAUCAGACUUGGUGCUGUGCGAAUAGCGGCUCUUCUUGGGCCGCCCACUCGCACUCCACCGGGCCAGCAUCGGUUUGGGCGGCAAGACAAUGGCGGGGGAACGUGGCACUGCUCUCGGGCAGUGUGUUUAUAGCCCCCGCUGAUGUUGCCUGCCUAGACCGAGGACUGCGGCUUCUGCCUAGGAUGCUGGCGUAAUGAUCCAACACCGCCCGUCUUGAAACAUGGACCAAGGAGUCUAACGUCUAUGCGAGUGUUUGGGUGUAAAACCCGUACGCGUAA